AGCGAACGCUGGCGGCAGGCUUAACACAUGCAAGUCGAGCGGGCCCUUCGGGGUCAGCGGCGGACGGGUGUGUAACGCGUGGGAACGUGCCUUCUGGUCUGGAAUAACCCUGGGAAACUAGGGCUAAUACCGGAUGCGCCCUUUUGGGGAAAGGUUUACUGCCGGAAGAUCGGCCCGCGUCUGAUUAGCUCGUUGGUGGGGUAACGGCCUACCAAGGCGAGGAUCAGUAGCUGGUCUGAGAGGAUGAUCAGCCACACUGGGACUGAGACACGGCCCAGACUCCUACGGGAGGCAGCAGUGGGGAAUAUUGAACAAUGGGCGCAAGCCUGAUCCAGCCAUGCCGCGUGAGUGAUGAAGGCCUGAGGGUUGUAAAGCUCUUUUAUCCGGGACGAUAAUGACGGUACCGGAGGAAUAAGCCCCGGCUAACUUCGUG
rnacentral:rRNA from 1 species